rnacentral:rRNA from 1 species
UACGUAGGGUGCAAGCGUUAAUCGGAAUUACUGGGCGUAAAGCGUGCGCAGGCGGUUAUGUAAGACAGAUGUGAAAUGCCCGGGCUUAACCUGGGAACUGCAUUGUGACUGCAUGGCUAGAGUUUGGCAGAGGGGGGUAGAAUUCCACGUGUAGCAGUGAAAUGCGUAGAUAUGUGGAGGAACACCGAUGGCGAAGGCAGCCCCCUGGGUCAAGAUUGACGCUCAUGCACGAAAGGCGUGGGGAGCAAACAGG